rnacentral:rRNA from 1 species
UGCACCUACCGAAGACUAUCAAACUCCGAAUGCCGUCAUCUUAUACUUGGGAGUCAGACUGUGGGUGAUAAGAUUCAUAGUCGAAAGGGCAACAGCCCAGAUCGUCAGCUAAGGUCCCUAAAUGUAAGUUAAGUGGUAAAGGAUGUGGGAUUGCACAGACAACCAGGAUGUUGGCUUAGAAGCAGCCACUCAUUCAAAGAGUGCGUAAUAGCUCACUGGUCGAGUGAUCCUGCGCCGAAGAUUUCCGGGGCUAAAACUUACUACCGAAGCUACGGCAUCAGUAAUGAUGGGUAGGGGAGCUUCCCAUACGGGUUGAAGCAUGACCGUAAGGACAUGUGGACAGUAUGGGAGUGAGAAUGUUGGCAUGAGUAGCGAGAUGUGGGUGAGAAUCCCACAGGCCGUAAACCCAAGGUUUCCAGGGGAAGGUUCGUCCGCCCUGGGUUAGUCGGGACCUAAGCUGAGGCCGAAAGGCGUAGGUGAUGGACAACAGGUUGAUAUUCCUGUACUACCGAUAACCGUUUGAGAGA